AUGAAGAAUUUGAUCCUGGUUCAGAAUGAACGUUGGCGGCGUGGAUGAGGCAUGCAAGUCGAACGGGUGUAGCAAUACAUCCGUGGCGGAAGGGUGAGUAAUAUAUGGUUAACCUGCCCUCAAGCGGGGGACAACACUUGGAAACGAGUGCUAAUACCGCAUAAGACCACAGUGGGGCAUCCCACAGGGGUCAAAGCCUUCGGGCACUUGAGGAGGGGGCCAUAACGUAUCAGCUAGUUGGUGAGGUAACGGCUCACCAAGGCAACGACGCGUAGCCGGUCUGAGAGGAUGGUCGGCCACACUGGGACUGAGACACUGCCCAGACUCCUACGGGAGGCUGCAGUCGAGAAUCAUUGUCAAUGGGCGAAAGCCUGAACGUGCGACGCCGCGUGUGGGAUGAAGGCCUUCGGGUUGUAAACCACUGUCAGGGGGAAGGAAUAAGCGUGUAACCCACGCGAUGACUUAUACCCCAGAGGAAGUGACGGCUAACUACGUGCCAGCAGCUGCGGUAAUACGUAGGUCACGAACGUUAUUCGGAAUCACUGGGCUUAAAGGGCGCGUAGGCGGCUUCGUAAGUUAUGGUUGAAAUCCGGCGGCUCACCCGUCGAACUGGCCAUAAGACUGCGGAGCUUGAGGUGCGGAGGGAUGCGUGGAACUUGUGGUGGAGCGGUGAAAUGCCCAGAUAUCACAGGGAACACCGGUGGCGAAGGCGACGCAUUGGCCGCAAUCUGACGCUGAGGCGCGAAAGCAUGGGGAGCGAACGGGAUUAGAUACCCCGGUAGUCCAUGCCGUAAACGAUGUGCACUAGGGAGAGGGCGGGUCCUAACUCGCUCCCUCCCCAAGCAAAAGCGUUAAGUGCACCGCCUGGGGAGUAUGCUCGCAAGGGUAAAACUCAAAGGAAUUGACGGGGGCUCACACAAGCGGUGGAGCAUGUGGUUCAAUUCGAAGCAACGCGAAGAACCUUACCAGGCCUAGACAUCAGGAUGUAACCGGCAGAAACGUCGGCCAACUCGCAAGAGAAAUCCUGUGCAGGUGUUGCAUGGCUGUCGUCAGCUCGUGUCGUGAGAUGUCGGGUUAAGUCCCAUAACGAGCGAAACCCCUGCCGUUAGUUGCUAACAGGUCAUGCUGAGCACUCUAGCGGGACUGCCUCGUAAGACGGAGGAAGGUGGGGACGACGUCAAGUCAUCAUGGCCCUUACGGCCUGGGCUACACACGUGCUACAAUGGGUGGUACAAAGAGAUCCGAAACGGCGACGUCAAGGAAAUCCCAGAAAGCCACCCCCAGUACGGAUUGAAGGCUGCAACUCGCCUUCAUGAAGCCGGAAUCGCUAGUAAUCGCGGGUCAGCCAUACCGCGGUGAAUAUGUUCCUGAGCCUUGUACACACCGCCCGUCAAGCCAUGAGAGCCGGUUCUAUCUAAAGCCGUUAGCCCAACCGUAAGGGGGGCGGCGCCUAGGGUAGGGUCGGUGAUCGGGGCUAAGUCGUAACAAGGUAGCAGUAGGGGAACCUGCGGCUGGAUCACCUCCUUU
rnacentral:rRNA from 1 species